GUGGAUGAUGGUGGUUGUGGCUUAGGCGUGGAUGGUGGUGAUUUCUUAGGUGUUGGUGAUAGUUGCGGUUGUGGUUUGGGUGCUGGAGUUCUCAAAACUGGAGGAUUUCCCGAUGAUGAUCCUCCACAUUUCGCCUUACUGCAAUCAACCGGUUUGCUUACCACUGGAUGACAAGUUUUCUGUGGCUUUUGCUUAGGCCUGUCCGGUAAACAAUUACUUGUAUCAUCCCGAACGAUGUCCUUCCCACUUGGUUUUUCGCAUACUGGUGCCUCUCCAUUGAAAUAAUUAUAUGAAAAUGUGAAGUUCCCCAGGCUAGGCAAGCGACAAAUGCUUUCAGGAACAAAACCUGUCAACAUGUUGUGGGAAAUAUCAAAUCUCUCCAGCUUGCCAAGAUCUUUGAAAGACUUGGGCAAUACCCCACUAAAUGCAUUUGAAGAAACGUCAAGAACUGUCAAAUUUCCAAGCUUUCCAAUCUCAAAUGGUAAACAACCCGAAA
rnacentral:misc_RNA from 1 species